rnacentral:misc_RNA from 1 species
UAGAAAUUUGACCGCGUUGAUUGCUGCCUUCACAAGUAGAGUAAACAAAGUCCGAAAACCUCCAUCGUUUCAUAGCCUAUAGAAUUUGAUUGAGCUACCCCUACUUCACAAAUCAUCUAUAUAUAUAAUCUACUUUUCCAGACAUACCCAUCUAACUAUCUUUUUCUCUCUGCGCCGUUGUAGCGUUCAAGAUGAGUUACAACAACGAUCCGUACAUAGAUGAGGAUGGAGAGGCAUUGGUGGAUUUUGAUGAGGAUGUCCGAUCAGAUAACGAGCAACAGGAACAAUUUCUUGGUGACAAUCUGGACGAUGAUGAUGCAUGGAAUCAGAGACAGCGAGAGCGGUCACCGACCCCAGUAUAUGAUGAUCUUAACAAGUCUAAGCCCAGGAAGCGGUUAAUUAAGAAAUCUUCAGCUAGAGAAAACACACCGGAUAUUGGGCUAGGAGAUGAGGAGGAUGCUUAUGGUGGUGCUGCUGCUGAUGACAUGACUGGCAAUAUGCAUGAUGAGUUUGACGGCGGUGGUCCUUCAUCUUCCUCUGCUGGUGGUGGAAAGAGGAAGAGGUUUGGCAUGGAGUUUAGUGAAGAGAAGAGGAAGGAGAAGAAGGGGAGAGAGAAAGGAGAGAAGAAAUUUAAGUUGAGGAAAAAUGGGGGUUACUCUGGAGGAAGCAGGUUAAAGGACCAGGAGGGGGAUCGGGAGAUGAAGGAGAUGUGGGACACCAUUGCUGGUGGUGACUCUGAGGAUGACCAAGAAGGUCCAAAGAAUGCCGAUGAUGAUAACUUCAUUGAUGAUAGUGGUGUAGAUCCAGCUGACAGGUAUGGAAGCGACAAUGAACCACUGUCUCCCAGCAAUGCUCCACAGGCUGAAGAAGGGGAAGAGGAUGACGAAAUCAAGCAGCUCUUCAAGGGAGGCAAGAAGAAAAAGAAAACUGAAAAGAGUGCAGCAGAAAUUGCAUUGCUAGUAGAGAAUGUUAUGGCUGAGUUGGAAGUUGUUGCCGAGGAGGAUGCCGAACUGAAUAGACAUUCCAAACCUGCUAUAAAUAAACUAAAAAAACUCCCUCUUCUCAUAGAUGUCCUGUCUAAGAAGCAACUUCAGCAAGAAUUUUUAGAUCAUGGAGUGUUGACUCUUUUGAGGACUUGGCUUGAACCCCUUCCAGAUGGAAGCCUGCCCAACAUAAACAUUCGUGCUGCGAUCCUAAAGAUCCUUACUGAUUAUCCAAUUGAUCUUGAGCAGUAUGAUAGAAGAGAGAUGUUGAAAAAGAGUGGUCUUGGA